rnacentral:rRNA from 1 species
GAUGAACGCUGGCGGCGUGCUUAACACAUGCAAGUCGAACGGAAAGGCCCAAGCUUGCUUGGGUACUCGAGUGGCGAACGGGUGAGUAACACGUGGGUGAUCUGCCCUGCACUUUGGGAUAAGCCUGGGAAACUGGGUCUAAUACCGGAUAGGACCACAUUCUGGAUGGUGUGGGGGGAAGUUUUUCGGUGUGGGGUGAGCUCGCGGCCUAUUAGCUUGUUGGUGGGGGAAUGGCCUACCAAGGGGGCGUCGGGUAGUCGGCCCGGGGGGGGGGACGGCCACAUUGGGACUUGGAUCCGGCCCCGACUCCUACGGGGGGCAGCAGGGGGGAAAAUUGCACAAUGGGCGCGAGCCUGAUGCAGCGACGCCGCGUGGGGGAUGACGGCCUUCGGGUUGUAAACUCCUUUCGCUAGGGACGAAGCGUUAUGUGACGGUACCUGGAGAAGAAGCACCGGCUAACUACGUG